rnacentral:rRNA from 1 species
ACGGAAGGCAGCAGUGGGGAAUAUUGCACAAUGGGCGAAAGCCUGAUGCAGCGACGCCGCGUGAGUGAAGAAGUAUCUCGGUAUGUAAAGCUCUAUCAGCAGGGAAGAAAAUGACGGUACCUGACUAAGAAGCCCCGGCUAACUACGUGCCAGCAGCCGCGGUAAUACGUAGGGGGCAAGCGUUAUCCGGAUUUACUGGGUGUAAAGGGAGGGUAGACGGUUUGGCAAGUCUGAAGUGAAAUGCGGGGGCUCAACUCCUGAACUGCUUUGGAAACUGUCGAACUAGAGUGCAGGAGAGGUAAGUGGAAUUCCUAGUGUAGCGGUGAAAUGCGUAGAUAUUAGGAGGAACACCAGUGGCGAAGGCGGCUUACUGGACUGUAACUGACGUUGAGGCUCGAAAGCGUGGGGAGCAAACAGGAUUAGAUACCCUGGUA